rnacentral:lncRNA from 1 species
CCAGUACUGUGUACAAUACUCCAAGUGAGGUCUCACCAGUGUUCUGUACAAUGGCAUGAGCACUUCCCUCUUUCUACUGCUAAUACCUCUCUAUAUACAACCAAGCAUUCUGCUAGCAUUUCCUGCUGCUCUAUUACAUUGUCUGCCUACCUUUAAGUCAUCAGAAAUAAUCACCCCUAAAUCCCUUUCCUCAUAUGUUGGUUAGAACUCUAUCAAAUAUUCUGUACUCUGCCCUUGGGUUUUUAUGUCCAAGAUGCAUUAUCUUGCACUUAUCCACAUUAAAUGUCAGUUGCCACAAUUCUGACCAUUUUUCUAGUUUACCUAAAUCAUUUGUCAUUUGGCUUAUCCCUCCUGGAACAUCAACCCUGUUACAUAUCUUAGUAUCAUCAGCAAAAAGACAUACCUUACCAUCAAGGCCUUCUGCAAUAUCACUAAUAAAAAUAUUAAAGAGAAUGGGUCCAAGUACAGAUCCCUGAGGUACCCCACUGGUGACAAG